CAAUGCAAUGGACUCAUUUAACACCACCAAGUUUAUCCACGAUGCAUCAUCAAAUACAAAAUAAGCAUCAUCCGAGGGUAUCGGUGUUAUGAAGAACACCUCAUUGCUUACGUAAAACGAUACCACAAAUUGUUCACCAAGGAUAUCUUCUAAAGAAACCCAAUGACACAUUCCAUCCAUGUAUACUUGAGUUCCUUCAAUAUAGUCCAAAGAAGACGGCAUGUCAACAUCCAAUUCCCUCCACGAGUUACUUCUUAGGCUAUAUAUCUCCCAAAAGGGGUGUAAAGUGAUGUGAUCAAUAAAAGGUGAAGUGAAAAGUGAUUUAAUUGUGUACUAGAGCAACAAUGAAAUAGUUUCUCUACACAU
rnacentral:lncRNA from 1 species